UGGGGAAUAUUGGACAAUGGGGGGAACCCUGAUCCAGCCAUGCCGCGUGUGUGAAGCAGGCCUUAUGGUUGUAAAGCACUUUAAGCGAGGAGGAGGGUACUGGUAUUAAUACUACCAGGUACUGGACGUUACUCGCAGAAUAAGCACCGGCUAACUCUGUGCCAGCAGCCGCGGUAAUACAGAGGGUGCGAGCGUUAAUCGGAUUUACUGGGCGUAAAGCGUGCGUAGGCGGCUAAUUGAGUCGGAUGUGAAAUCCCCGAGCUUAACUUGGGAAUUGCAUUCGAUACUGGUUAGCUAGAGUGUGGGAGAGGAUGGUAGAAUUCCAGGUGUAGCGGUGAAAUGCGUAGAGAUCUGGAGGAAUACCGAUGGCGAAGGCAGCCAUCUGGCCUAACACUGACGCUGAGGUACGAAAGCAUGGGGAGCAAACAGG
rnacentral:rRNA from 1 species